rfam:Triticum urartu cultivar G1812 contig1011756, whole genome shotgun sequence.
UAUAUACUCCCUCUGUCCGGAAAUACUUGUCAUCAAAAUGGAUAAAAGGGAUGUAUCUAGAUGUAUUUUAGUUUUAGAUACAUCCCUUUUUGUCCAUUUACAUCCCUUUUAUCCAUUUUGAUGGCAAGUUUUUUCGGACGGAGGGAGUAUAAU